GGGGAAUAUUGGACAAUGGGCGAAAGCCUGAUCCAGCCAUGCCGCGUGUGUGAAGAAGGUCUUCGGAUUGUAAAGCACUUUAAGUUGGGAGGAAGGGCAGUAAGUUAAUACCUUGCUGUUUUGACGUUACCAACAGAAUAAGCACCGGCUAACUUCGUGCCAGCAGCCGCGGUAAUACGAAGGGUGCAAGCGUUAAUCGGAAUUACUGGGCGUAAAGCGCGCGUAGGUGGUUUGGUAAGAUGGAUGUGAAAUCCCCGGGCUCAACCUGGGAACUGCAUUUGAUACUGGAAGUCUUGAGUAUGGUAGAGGUGAGUGGAAUUCCGAGUGUAGAGGUGAAAUUCGUAGAUAUUCGGAGGAACACCAGUGGCGAAGGCGGCUCACUGGACCAUUACUGACGCUGAGGUGCGAAAGCGUGGGGAGCAAACA
rnacentral:rRNA from 1 species